rnacentral:rRNA from 2 species
UACAGAGGGUGCGAGCGUUAAUCGGAGUUACUGGGCGUAAAGGGCGCGUAGGCGGUGGAAUGUGAGUGAUGUGAAAGCCCUGGGCUUAACCUAGGAAGCGCAUCGCAGACUAUUCUGCUGGAGUAGAUGAGAGGGUGAUGGAAUUUCCGGUGUAGCGGUGAAAUGCGUAGAGAUCGGAAGGAACGUCGAUGGCGAAGGCAGUCACCUGGCAUCAUACUGACGCUGAAGCGCGAAAGCGUGGGGAUCGAACAGG